rnacentral:rRNA from 1 species
AGAGUUUGAUCCUGGCUCAGAUUGAACGCUGGCGGCAGGCCUAACACAUGCAAGUCGAACGGUAACAAGAAGCAGCUUGCUGCUUCGCUGACGAGUGGCGGACGGGUGAGUAAUGUCUGGGAAACUGCCUGAUGGAGGGGGAUAACUACUGGAAACGGUAGCUAAUACCGCAUAACGUCGCAAGACCAAAGAGGGGGACCUUAGGGCCUCUUGCCAUCGGAUGUGCCCAGAUGGGAUUAGCUAGUAGGUGGGGUAACGGCUCACCUAGGCGACGAUCCCUAGCUGGUCUGAGAGGAUGACCAGCCACACUGGAACUGAGACACGGUCCAGACUCCUACGGGAGGCAGCAGUGGGGAAUAUUGCACAAUGGGCGCAAGCCUGAUGCAGCCAUGCCGCGUGUAUGAAGAAGGCCUUCGGGUUGUAAAGUACUUUCAGCGGGGAGGAAGGGAGUAAAGUUAAU